UAUCUAGGCGCAACUAUAUGCUGAUUCAAAGACUUCUGAGUGGAUAUCACGGGAGUAUCAUGCAAAUAUCACUACUCUAAGAUAGUCUGCUAUAUUCUGCAUACUGAUAUCUUAUCUAUCUGAGUGC
rnacentral:rRNA from 1 species